GAGCAGUGAUGACACCUGCGCAUAACGUGGCACUUUAGGGUCCGCCACUAUCUUCUGAUCUACCAGAAGAGAUCAAUGUGCAUCUGAGCUU
rfam:Beta vulgaris subsp. vulgaris Bvchr3_un.sca004.con0002.1, whole genome shotgun sequence.